rnacentral:tRNA from 1 species
GUGCCUAUAGUGUAAUGGUCAGCACUGCAGCUUGUGGAGCUGUAUGUCCCGGUUCGAAUCCGGGUAGGCACC